rnacentral:tRNA from 1 species
CUCCCGGUACCUCAGAUGGAUAGAGGGUUCGCCUCCUAAGCGAAACGCCAGCGGUUCGAAUCCGCUCCGGGAGGCCA